ensembl:snRNA U6 U6 spliceosomal RNA
AUGCUCCCUUCAGGAGUACAUAUUCCAAAAUUGGAAUGAUACAGAGAAGAUUAGCAUGGCCGCUAUCAAGGAUGACAUGCAAAUUCAUGAAUCACUCCAUAUUUGU